rnacentral:rRNA from 1 species
UACAGAGGGUGCGAGCGUUGUCCGGAAUCACUGGGCGUAAAGGGUGCGUAGGCGGGUCUUUAAGUCAGAGGUGAAAGCCCAGAGCUCAACUCUGGAAUGGCCUUUGAGACUAGAGAACUAGGGUACGGGAGAGGUGAGUGGAAUUCCGAGUGUAGAGGUGAAAUUCGUAGAUAUUCGGAAGAACACCAGUGGCGAAGGCGGCUCACUGGCCCGUUACCGACGCUCAGGCGCGACAGCGUGGGGAGCAAACAGG